rnacentral:rRNA from 1 species
CAUUACCGAGUUUACAACUCCCAAACCCCUGUGAACAUACCAUUUGUUGCCUCGGCGGUGCCUGCUUCGGCAGCCCGCCAGAGGACCCAAACCCUUGAUUUUAUACAGUAUCUUCUGAGUAAAUGAUUAAAUAAAUCAAAACUUUCAACAACGGAUCUCUUGGUUCUGGCAUCGAUGAAGAACGCAGCGAAAUGCGAUAAGUAAUGUGAAUUGCAGAAUUCAGUGAAUCAUCGAAUCUUUGAACGCACAUUGCGCCCGCCAGUAUUCUGGCGGGCAUGCCUGUUCGAGCGUCAUUUCAACCCUCAAGCCCCCGGGCUUGGUGUUGGAGAUCGGCGUGCCCCCCGGGGCGCGCCGCCUCCCAAAUAUAGUGGCGGUCUCGCUGUAGCUUCCUCUGCGUAGUAGCACACCUCGCACUGGAAAACAGCGUGGCCACGCCGUUAAACCCCCCACUUCUGAAAGGUUGACCUCGGAUCAGGUAGGAAUACCCGCUGAACUUAAGCAUAUCAAUAAGCGGAGGAAAAGAAACCAACAGGGAUUGCCCUAGUAACGGCGAGUGAAGCGGCAACAGCUCAAAUUUGAAAUCUGGCCCUCGGGUCCGAAUUGUAAUUUGUAGAGGAUGCUUUUGGUGAGGUACCUUCCGAGUUCCCUGGAACGGGACGCCAUAGAGGGUGAGAGCCCCGUCUGGUCGGAUACCGAUCCUCUGUAAAGCUCC